CUGCAGGAUAAGUUACAGUACAGCUGUUAAGUGCUGUUCUGUCGUUCCCCCUGCAAACAAUAAAUUGCUUCCUACUAUCCCUGUUUGUCUUGACCCUCACAGCAGAUGGGGACGCUUGGUCUCAAACAA